UACGGAAGGCAGCAGUGGGGAAUAUUGGACAAUGGGCGCAAGCCUGAUCCAGCCAUGCCGCGUGUGUGAAGAAGGCCUUCGGGUUGUAAAGCACUUUUGUCCGGAAAGAAAAGCUUAGGGUUAAUAACCUUGAGUCAUGACGGUACCGGAAGAAUAAGCACCGGCUAACUUCGUGCCAGCAGCCGCGGUAAUACGAAGGUGCAAGCGUUACUCGGAAUUACUGGGCGUAAAGCGUGCGUAGGUGGUUUGUUAAGUCUGAUGUGAAAGCCCUGGGCUCAACCUGGGAAUGGCAUUGGAAACUGGCUUACUAGAGUGCGGUAGAGGGGUGUGGAAUUCCCGGUGUAGCAGUGAAAUGCGUAGAUAUCGGGAGGAACAUCUGUGGCGAAGGCGACACCCUGGACCAGCACUGACACUGAGGCACGAAAGCUGGGGAGCAAAC
rnacentral:rRNA from 1 species